rnacentral:rRNA from 1 species
UACGUAGGGUCCGAGCGUUGUCCGGAAUUACUGGGCGUAAAGAGCUCGUAGGUGGUUUGUCGCGUUGUUCGUGAAAACUCACAGCUCAACUGUGGGCGUGCGGGCGAUACGGGCAGACUAGAGUACUGCAGGGGAGACUGGAAUUCCUGGUGUAGCGGUGGAAUGCGCAGAUAUCAGGAGGAACACCGGUGGCGAAGGCGGAUCUCUGGGCCUUACCUGACGCUGAGGCGCGAAAGCUAGGGGAGCGAACAGG